ACUUCUCUGGGCCUCUGUAAAAUGGAGAUUGAGACUGUAGAGGCGGUCUCGAUUUCACUGACUGAAAAAUCUCAGAGGGGCCUGGGGUGGCGGUUGAUGUGCAGAUAAUUUAGGAUACAUUUACGUCUGGACAAACAAUGUCAGUGGAACUGGGGAGUGAAAAUAUCAGCCGGUGGAGCGAUGAUGGAGGGAGAAGAGGCCGUCGGCAUGAAUGUUCAACUCACGCUGGCUGCUGAGGGUAAUUUCUCCUCUCUCGCCUUCUCUUCUUCUGCUCUCUCCUCUUCUGGUUGUGCUGCCUCUUGAGCAGUAGCAGUAGCAGGUUGACUCUUCAAUGAUCCCAGGAGGUCGUUUGUCCUGGACUCACUCCUUGGGUCAUUUUUAAUAACAGCGAGGAGCAUCAUUGCGUGAGCUUGUCGUGAGCAGGGAAUGGGUCCGUCAACUGCGUUCUACUAUCCUCUCCGAAGCGCUGAGUACAGUGCUCUGCACGCAGUAAGCGCUCAGUAAAUACCAGUUAUUAAUAAUAGUAAUGGACAAGGAAAAUGAUAAAACGGAAUGAGAUAAGAAGUCGUGUAGGGAAGGUCUUGGUAGUGACUGGUAAUCUACUACUCAGAUUCAAGUAAUUGGAGAAACAUUCAGGCACUUAAAUUUCUCUGUAAAGUCUUUGGAAGAUAGUCUUGUACGAGUAUUUAUGCAAUACAGAUGCCUACAUAAUUUUGCUAAUAGGACUGUGAAAAUUCACCCAAUGUUUGGAUUUUUCAAACUUCCAGUUUCUGAUGGUACUUUUCUUUCUCCCAACAUUACUCCGCAUUCUUCCCGUGAUUCUUAUGGCUUUUUUUUCUUUUUUGGUCUCAAUCUCUUUAAUUCUCUUCUGUUUGUCAAUUUCCCCCCUCCUUCUUUUUCCCUUUCUCCCCUUUUAGUCUUCUGAAUCUCUCCCUCCUUUCUUUCUUAUUCCUGUCUUUCACUUGCCUCUAUCACUCUCUUGUCUCUGUCACUGCCGUGGCACAACUCAUUCACAUUCCUUCACACCCAGAUAUACGCUCACAGACAAAACUUUCCCUCAAGGCCUGUCGUCUCCCAAGAGGCUCAGAGUAAGACCCAUUCACAGCACAGAAGACACAUCUGUGCUCUCAUCCUAGCUCAGGGGUCAUUUUCCUUUGCACUCCCUUUUUCCUUCUCCCUUUCUCCUUCUCUCCCUCCCGCUCUCUUUCUUGAGUGCUUGGUUUUAAAGACUCCAUCAGCUGGCCCCCUUCCUACCUCACCUCAGUGAUCUCCUACUUCAGCCCAGUCCACACACUCUGCUCCUCUAGUGCCGGUUUACUCACUGCGUCCCGAUCUCAUCUGUCUCGCCCCUCACUCCUUUCUCACACCCUCCCCCUAACUUGUAUCUCCCUCCCCGUCCAAAUACGCCGGGCCACCACUAUCUCCCUCUUCAAAACAUUACAAAGGUCACAUCUCUUCCAAGAGGCCU